rnacentral:rRNA from 1 species
GACGAACGCUGGGGGCGUGCUUAACACAUGCAAGUCGAACGAUGAACCGGAGCUUGCUCUGGGGAUUAGUGGCGAACGGGUGAGUAACACGUGGGCAACCUGCCCCAGACACCGGGAUAACCAUUCGAAAGGAUGGCUAAUACCGGAUACGACCACUUCGGGCAUCCGAUGGUGGUGGAAAGGAUUCUGGUCUGGGAUGGGCCCGCGGCCUAUCAGCUUGUUGGUGGGGUAAUGGCCUACCAAGGCGACGACGGGUAGCCGGCCUGAGAGGGCGACCGGCCACACUGGGACUGAGCCACGGCCCAGACUCCUACGGGAGGCAGCAGUGGGGAAUAUUGCGCAAUGGGCGAAAGCCUGACGCAGCGACGCCGCGUGAGGGACGAAGGUCUUCGGAUUGUAAACCUCUUUCAGCAGGGAUGAAGCGAAAGUGACAGUACCUGCAGAAGAAGCACCGGCUAACUACGUGCCAGCCGCCGCGGUAA